UACAGAGGUGGCAAGCGUUGUUCGGAAUUACUGGGCGUAAAGGGCGCGUAGGUGGCGCAACAAGUCAGUGGUGAAAGCUCGACGCUCAACGUCGAGUCGGCCACUGAGACUGUUGGGCUUGAGCACUGUAGAGGCUAAUGGAAUUCCGGGUGUAGCGGUGGAAUGCGUAGAGAUCCGGAAGAACACCGGUGGCGAAGGCGGCCUGCUGGGCAGUUUAGCUGACACUGAGGCGCGACAGCGUGGGGAGCAAACAGG
rnacentral:rRNA from 1 species